CUUUAGACACUGCCCAAUCAUUAUGUCACCUAAUUUAACGGCUAUAACGUUCACUUCUUCAACCUUUAAUGCCGAACUUCUCAUUUUGAGCUUCCGAUUCAAAAACACCUCACCUCACUCACUCAACAUUUUCCACCAUGUUAGAUGGACUACUUCGCCGCCAAAUGUAAACCAAGAAUCGGAUUGAAGUGAUAAGGAGAUAGAGAAGAGCUACGGAGAAGUUUCUCAAGAAAGAUAUCAAUGCCUACGGAAGGGUAACUAAUUCGUUUUACGAUUGCUUAGAGGAAUGAGGAAGUUAUAACACAGCUUUUAACAUUAUUCAGCCUCUGUUGAAAGCUAUCUAUCUAACAACACCAGUCGAGCCGACUUUCAGAUGAUAGCGUAAUCAUAUUGGAGGAGAGGAUUUAUUUUUUAUUCUUCAAAAGGUUUACUAUGGAAAACCACAACGGUUAUGAUUCCAACAACGACGAAUAUGUUGAAGAAUCAGAUUAUGCUAAGGAUGCACUACAACAUUUUUGGCUUUAGGCCACGGAAGAAUAGGCAACGGCAUAAAAAGCGUUGUCUAUAAGGUAAUAAACCACGGUUUUUUGCUUGUUGAUAAAUUUCUAGAUUUUUAAUAAAAACCAUAGUGUAUACACUUUAUGCUGCGGUGUUGUAACCGUGGGCAAAACAAAACCGUCCCCUAUUUACUUUUAACCACGGUUUUUAAAUUGUUGUCAUAGUC